rnacentral:rRNA from 1 species
UGAAAGGCCAAUCAAACCGGGAGAUAGCUGGUUCUCCCCGAAAGCUAUUUAGGUAGCGCCUCGUGAACUCAUCUCGGGGGGUAGAGCACUGUUUCGGCAAGGGGGUCAUCCCGACUUACCAACCCGAUGCAAACUGCGAAUACCGGAGAAUGUUAUCACGGGAGACACACGGCGGGGNNNNNNNNNNGCAGCGACACUAUGUGUUGUUGGGUAGGGGAGCGUUCUGUAAGCCUGUGAAGGUGUACUGUGAGGUAUGCUGGAGGUAUCAGAAGUGCGAAUGCUGACAUAAGUAACGAUAAAGCGGGUGAAAAGCCCGCUCGCCGGAAGACCAAGGGUUCCUGUCCAACGUUAAUCGGGGCAGGGGNNNNNNNNNNNNNNNNNNNNNNNNNNNNNNNNNNNNNNNNNNNNNNNGCAGCGACACUAUGUGUUGUUGGGUAGGGGAGCGUUCUGUAAGCCUGUGAAGGUGUACUGUGAGGUAUGCUGGAGGUAUCAGAAGUGCGAAUGCUGACAUAAGUAACGAUAAAGCGGGUGAAAAGCCCGCUCGCCGGAAGACCAAGGGUUCCUGUCCAACGUUAAUCGGGGCAGGGUGAGUCGACCCCUAAGGCGAGGCCGAAAGGCGUAGUCGAUGGGAAACAGGUUAAUAUUCCUGUACUUGGUGUUACUGCGAAGGGGGGACGGAGAAGGCUAUGUUGGCCGGGCGACGGUUGUCCCGGUUUAAGCGUGUAGGCUGGUUUUCCAGGCAAAUCCGGAAAAUCAAGGCUGAGGUGUGAUGACGAGGCACUACGGUGCUGAAGCAACAAAUGCCCUGCUUCCAGGAAAAGCCUCUAAGCAUCAGGUAACAUCAAAUCGUACCCCAAACCGACACAGGUGGUCAGGUAGAGAAUACCAAGGCGCUUGAGAGAACUCGGGUGAAGGAACUAGGCAAAAUGGUGCCGUAACUUCGGGAGAAGGCACGCUGAUAUGUAGGUGAAGUCCCUCGCGGAUGGAGCUGAAAUCAGUCGAAGAUACCAGCUGGCUGCAACUGUUUAUUAAAAACACAGCACUGUGCAAACACGAAAGUGGACGUAUACGGUGUGACGCCUGCCCGGUGCCGGAAGGUUAAUUGAUGGGGUUAGCGCAAGCGAAGCUCUUGAUCGAAGCCCCGGUAAACGGCGGCCGUAACUAUAACGGUCCUAAGGUAGCGAAAUUCCUUGUCGGGUAAGUUCCGACCUGCACGAAUGGCGUAAUGAUGGCCAGGCUGUCUCCACCCGAGACUCAGUGAAAUUGAACUCGCUGUGAAGAUGCAGUGUACCCGCGGCAAGACGGAAAGACCCCGUGAACCUUUACUAUAGCUUGACACUGAACAUUGAGCCUUGAUGUGUAGGAUAGGUGGGAGGCUUAGAAGUGUGGACGCCAGUCUGCAUGGAGCCGACCUUGAAAUACCACCCUUUAAUGUUUGAUGUUCUAACGUUGACCCGUAAUCCGGGUUGCGGACAGUGUCUGGUGGGUAGUUUGACUGGGGCGGUCUCCUCCUAAAGAGUAACGGAGGAGCACGAAGGUUGGCUAAUCCUGGUCGGACAUCAGGAGGUUAGUGCAAUGGCAUAAGCCAGCUUGACUGCGAGCGUGACGGCGCGAGCAGGUGCGAAAGCAGGUCAUAGUGAUCCGGUGGUUCUGAAUGGAAGGGCCAUCGCUCAACGGAUAAAAGGUACUCCGGGGAUAACAGGCUGAUACCGCCCAAGAGUUCAUAUCGACGGCGGUGUUUGGCACCUCGAUGUCGGCUCAUCACAUCCUGGGGCUGAAGUAGGUCCCAAGGGUAUGGCUGUUCGCCAUUUAAAGUGGUACGCGAGCUGGGUUUAGAACGUCGUGAGACAGUUCGGUCCCUAUCUGCCGUGGGCGCUGGAGAACUGAGGGGGGCUGCUCCUAGUACGAGAGGACCGGAGUGGACGCAUCACUGGUGUUCGGGUUGUCAUGCCAAUGGCACUGCCCGGUAGCUAAAUGCGGAAGAGAUAAGUGCUGAAAGCAUCUAAGCACGAAACUUGCCCCGAGAUGAGUUCUCCCUGACUCCUUGAGAGUCCUGAAGGAACGUUGAAGACGACGACGUUGAUAGGCCGGGUGUGUAAGCGCAGCGAUGCGUUGAGCUAACCGGUACUAAUGAACCGUGAGGCUUAACCUUACAACGCCGAAG